GAUGAAGAACGCAGCGAAAUGCGAUAAGUAGUGUGAAUUGCAGAAUUCAGUGAAUCAUCGAAUCUUUGAACGCACAUUGCGCCCUUUGGUAUUCCAAAGGGCAUGCCUGUUCGAGCGUCAUUUGUACCCUCAAGCUUUGCUUGGUGUUGGGCGCCUUGUCUCUAGCUUUGCUGGAGACUCGCCUUAAAGUAAUUGGCAGCCGGCCUACUGGUUUCGGAGCGCAGCACAAGUCGCACUCUCUAUCAGCAAAGGUCUAGCAUCCAUUAAGCCUUUUUUUCAACUUUUGACCUCGGAUCAGGUAGGGAUACCCGCUGAACUUAAGCAUAUCAAUAAGCGGAGGA
rnacentral:misc_RNA from 1 species